UAUCUGGUUGAUCCUGCCAGUAUUAUAUGUGAUAUUAAAGAUUAAGCCAUGCAUGUGUAAGUAUAAGUUAAAUAAUGCGAAACUGCGGAAGGCUCAUUAUAACAGUUAUAGUUUUGAUGGUUAGUAAAAAAAGGAUAACUCUUGUUAAUUGCAGAGCUAAUACUUGAAUUUACUAUAAUCUAUAUGAUUAUAGCGUAAUAAAGCAAUUUAUUACAUAGGAAUAGCUUUUUGAGAAGAAGGUUAAAUUGAGAAUUGAUGAAACUUAAAUGUUUUUACAAGUAACUGUUUUAAAUAUCGAC
rnacentral:rRNA from 1 species